GCCGUUGAUAUCGACGCUCGUCUGAAAUGUCUGAGUGUACCCCGCUUUUGCGGCGUAUUCGGUGUGAUACAUCUUCACCGGAGUUGAUCCGAAAGGAUCGCGUCUGUAACGAGUGUGGCUCUAUGCUUCCAAACCGUCUCGACAGGGACAAUCUCUGACAAUUUGACCUCAAAUCGGGUGGGACUACCCGCUGAACUUAA
rnacentral:misc_RNA from 1 species